rnacentral:tRNA from 1 species
AAGACUUUAAGUUAAGAGAAACUGAAAGUUUUCAAAGCUUUAAAUGGUAUUAAAUUUAUCAAGUCUUG